rnacentral:rRNA from 1 species
AACCUGGGUUGAUCCUGCCAGUAGUCAUAUGCUUGUCUCAAAGAUUAAGCCAUGCAUGUCUAAGUACAAGCCUCACUAAGGUGAAACCGCGAAUGGCUCAUUAAAUCACACCUAAUCUACUGGAUAGUAAAAAGUUACUUGGAUAACUGCGGUAAUUCUGGAGCUAGUACAUGCACAAAGCCUCAACCUUACGGGAGAGGUGCUUUUAUUAGAUCAAAACCAAACGGCUUCGGCUGUACUCUUGGUGACUCUGAAUAACUUUGGGCUGAUCGCAUAGCCUUGCGCUGGCGACAUAUCCUUCGAAGGUGUGCCCUAUCAACUGUCGACUGUGGCAUAGACGCCCACAGUGGUUUUGACGGGUAACGGGGAAUCAGGGUUCGAUUCCGGAGAAGGAGCCUUAAAACGGCUACCACAUCUAAGGAANGCAGCAGGCNCGCCAAUUA